rnacentral:lncRNA from 1 species
AAAUUUAUUGAAUUGUUAGGCUGGAUAAAUUGGAUGAUUGUCUCAGUCUGUUCUCUCAGCAACUUGUUAACUGGACUGGUAUGUUGAGUUGGGCUGCUGUAGUUUGAACUCAGUGAUGGCACCCUCAAACUGUUCUCGUCUGAUGGUAUGACCAGCUCUGUUAUUAAUGCCGUGCUUUCCUUUUCCUUAUUUCUUUCCGCAUUUUGGCCAAUCUUUGACAUGCUGGUUGCUGUCCUUUGCAGUUCAGUAGUCUUCCUUGAUGUGCCAUUACUACCGUUUCGCUCCCACUUAGAUGGAUAUGCGAAUUCCAAUGGCAUAGAUGAAGCAGUGUUAAUAUUUCUUGACUUUGUGGCAGGAUAGGAGCUUGCUUUGCCUUCAUCACUCCGUAUAGCAGAGUCUUGAUUGGUCAUUUGUUCCAUGACAAUGGGAGGAAUCUUAUGUAGGGGGAUCCUGGAUGCCUUCGAUGGAACUGUAACACUAUUUUGUGAACACUUGCUCCUAACGCAUG